rnacentral:rRNA from 1 species
UCGCCAGACUCCUACGGGAGGCAGCAGUGGGGAAUAUUGCACAAUGGGGGAAACCCUGAUGCAGCGACGCCGCGUGGAGGAAGAAGGUCUUCGGAUUGUAAACUCCUGUCCUUGGGGACGAUAAUGACGGUACCUGAAGAAGAAGCCCCGGCUAACUACGUGCCAGCAGCCGCGGUAAUACGUAGGGGGCAAGCGUUAUCCGGAUUUACUGGGUGUAAAGGGGGCGCAGACGGCGAUGCAAGCCAGGAGUGAAAGCCCGGGGCCCAACCCCGGGACUGCUCUUGGAACUGCGUGGCUGGAGUGCAGGAGGGGCAGGCGGAAUUCCUGGUGUAGCGGUGAAAUGCGUAGAUAUCAGGAGGAACACCGGUGGCGAAGGCGGCCUGCUGGACUGCAACUGACGUUGAGGCCCGAAAGCGUGGGGAGCAAACAGGAUUAGAUACCCGUGUA